rnacentral:rRNA from 1 species
GACAGAGGUGCCAAGCGUUAGGCGGAAUCACUGGGCUUAAAGCGUGUGUAGGCGGAUUUGUAAGUACCUUGUGAAAUCCCACAGCUCAACUGUGGAACUGCUGGGUAUACUGCUUAUCUUGAGCCACUUAGGGGCUGUCGGAACAAAUGGUGGAGCGGUGAAAUGCGUAGAUAUCAUUUGGAACGCCAACGGUGAAAAACAGACAGCUGGGGAG